UGUCCCAUGGCUUAGUUGGUUACGGCGUCCGACUGUUAAUCGGAAGAUCGAGAGUUCGAGUCUCUCUGGGACAG
rnacentral:tRNA from 1 species